UGAAAGAGUUUGUUUUCUUUCCAUUUUACCCCUCAUCCAACCAAACCAAACACACAUCCCCCAAUCAAAGUGCUAUCACGUGCCCUUUCUUUUGCCCGUCCAUCUCCUUUCAAUAUCCAAAAUUUCCAUAAAACAAAACCUUCAUAUCUUUGAUUGAUUGAGAGAGAGAUGGAUCCACCACAGAUACAAGCCAUAGACAGCUCCAGCAAAAGCUAUCCCCCAAUUGAAGAUGAGCAAGACAAAAUAGUCGACCAAUGCUGUUCUUGCUUUUACGACUGUACUGAUAGCCUUUUGGAGUACUUGUGCUGCUAUGAUUUCUGGUGUUCCUAGGGAUACAUAUUAUAACUAUAAGGGAACUUGUUAGAUGAACUAAUUAUGUUCUUUCGCUUUUGGUUAUCAUGAUUUUGCACUGCAUUACUCGAUUUACAUAAAACAAAUUUAGUCCUCUUAUACUGAAAAUUUAUAAUGAGAU